GAGCAAGGGCAGGUGCCGGCCCUCACAACCCGGCUGGUGGGCGGCAGAGCCGAGAAAAGCUUUUCCUUCCCUGUUGACAUCGGGACUAAACCAGCCCGAGUUCCUUGUGCAGCACAAACGAACCAUUACCGUGUGCAGAAGCUUUUUCUUUAGGCUGCGAAGUGCUUCCCUAGUGUUCCCCAGGCUCUUAGAAAUUAUUGCCAUGAAUGCUCCAGUGCCUUCCCCCAUUAUCUUUGCAAUCCUGCUUCUUCCUCACAGGAAGGCAAAAAGCACAGCACACAAGCACUGUACCACUUCAACCACGCUGGGGAGGAAAACGAUACAGGCAAAGACGAAUCAGCUCAUCUACUGCAGAGAAGCUACUGGCAGGUUUUGCUGCUCUCCAAGUUCGUUCAUCCAGCCUACAGAGGUAAGAAAAUCUGCUAUGCCAUCAGAGGCUCACAUACUCUAGAAAUAACAGCAGUUUGCAUCAUGAAUUAUCUAACAUGAUUCACCACUCGGGGAAAAGAAAAUAUAUCGUGUUUGGUGGUGUGCCAUUUGGCCACCAGACUCUAGAAUUUUAAUGUUUGUUAUCUUUGCAAUGGAGAUAAUGCAACGCUGGGCUCGGGCAUCUGCUCUAAGAUGGAUUCCUCACCUCAACAGGAGUCGACCUGUGAAAUGCAAGGCUCUGGCCACAGGUGCUGAAUGUGUCCCCAUGCUUUUAAAGUGAAAAAACCCCACGUAGAACCCAAAAAACCCGGUACUGAAAACAAAAGAACUCGAUGAUGUGCUGACUUACCAUCCACACCUAUAUGAAUGCCUUAGUACUUUAUUACUUUUGUUUAUAAAAAAAUAAGAAAAUUGCAAAAUGGCCAUUAAAAACUCCCUCUAACAGAAAACACUGACACUUUUUUCAAACAAGUCUGACAGUUCCAUAAGGAGAACACAGCCCUGUGACCCACAGAACCGGGCAGAAUACAAGCAUUGGGUAGAAUACAAGUAUGACCAGGAGAUUACACAGUAAGAUUAUUCAUUCAACUAUUGCUAAAGGUAUCUAACAGACUAAAAGGGAAAACUCAACUUGCUUCACACGGUUGAUAUUUGGUUCUAAAGGCCAAAUCAACCAAAAAGGUAGAAGCUGGCUAGUAGUGAACGUAUUUGAUUUGUGUUUCCUCAAGUAAAGGAGGCUUGAUAAAAAUUAGAAGAAAAUAAUAGAAACAGCACAUGUAUUACUGCAAUCAUUUCAUCCAAAACCAAUCCAAACUGGUUCACAAGAUGAGCUUCAUCACUUUGUCAGGACAAGAAAAGCACCUUGUAACCAGAGCUGAAUGAAGCCUACAAUAAUUUACUGAGUGAUGAACAUAAUCUCUCAACCCUUUAAAGACAGUCCUUACCCAUCAUUUUUGCUGAUCUCUUCCAAUGCUGUGUUCUGCACACACCAGAAAACAGACUGGAACAAGCACCAGGAAACUCCAAAGUUUUAACACUGUACUAUUUUAAAAGGCUCACACACAGUUUCUAUACGGUCCUUGAUAAAGUCCCAAAACAUUUAACCAGAACUCCCCUACUCCUACUCUGGAGAACACUUGCAGCAUAACUUGAUUAUCCAAAGCUCCCAGGGGACAAAUGGAAGCAGAGAUACAUGGGGAACAGCCAGAGGUCUUCUGAGAAUAACGGAAGUGAAAGGAGAGGAAACAAACUCCACAAAGGACUGUUGGCUCAGCUCAGCCCUGAAGUUUCCCUAUUCCUGAAUGGAGCAUUCAUUAAGUAAAAUAAGCUUCUUUAAGCAAGCUUUCCAAACGAUUGUAAAAACCAUCUGACAAAGUGAAGAAUUAUUGUUCGUUUUGGUACUUGACUCUCCCGAGAGAGAGGCAGCUGUUGUUCCUACUGUAGUAAUUUAUUAGCCAGUGGUACCGCUGUACCAACGCUCCUGGUAGGGUCUCAGUGGUUAACAAGCAGCCAAAUUCUUUCCAAACUUGUGUUUCCCCAAGUAUUAUUUGGAAAACACUGCUAGAAAAAGUUCCAAACUGAGCGAGAAACACCAACAGAUUUAUCACAAGCCUUAACACGGGGCAGAACAUCUACACAGAAUAAAUCUGUUCGGGGAGUUGCGGGUGCUUUACACCGAAAGUACAAGUUUUUACUUAUAUUAUUGCAGCACAAGUUAAUGCCAAUUAAGUAGGAGAGUCACUUUGGAUUUAGCACAGAACCUGGCCCAGGGCACUGGCACACAGAAUAGAAAUAAAUACUAAUCGUGCUUGCUCACACUGAGAGGAUUAGAUAACUACAGACGUAGGAAAUUAAAACCACAACAAGAUGACCCCACGCUCAUGAUUUCCCUGUUGGAGCAGAUCAGUCAAUAUGAAUAAUCGACAAUGUAAAUUGAAAUCCUCAGAUAAAAAUAAUGGUUUUACCGCUUUAUUUCUCUUCACUUGCACAGAAAUUGAGUUGACUAUCUCUGACAAUGCCAUGGUUUAAUAUUCUAAACACACUAUCUUCUUUAACAAUGCCUGGAAUAGGAACAAGCUGCUGAGCCAGAUCCUCAAGGGGUGAAAAUCAACACUGCUACACUGACUUCAGUGGAAGCACAUUGAUCUUCACCAGCUAAAGCUUUGGGCCCUAGUGGGCAAUUAGGUUUCUAUUAUAUGCUAAUUUAAAUAAUGCACCACAGAACAUUUGCUGUACAAUAAAGCAAGUCUACAUUCUUCUGUGGAAAAGGACAAGCAUUUGCUGUGGCAUGAUGAGAGUUAUGGAUUCUGGUUUCAAAGAGCAGGAUGGAGUUUCGGUAUAAACUACUCCUCAUAAUAACAUUUUUAAACCUGCAAUUACUCAUACUAUACUACUCUGGGAAGCCUAUAAUUAUUUGGUAGGUUCUUACCAACGUCUAGUCUAAAUCAUAAUUGCUAACACUGCCUCCUUCAAAGGAACUAGUGACUCUGUUAAAAUCUGGUUUUUGUUAGGUUCCUACUACACAAAGUGGCUGUGCUCUAAUGUUAUGAUCUGUAUUCAGUUGAGGAGGAAAACCAAGCUGAUUUAUGUCAUAAUCUUGAGCCUUUGAGCAAGGCCUGAACAAAAAAAAAAUGAAUACAACAAUCCCACACGCUUCUUUUGAGGCUUCUGAGGUGGCUGGGUUGGAACAGGGACCGUGGCUGCGGCUGACACAGGCCAGAGGUUUUUUGCCACACAAGUUUAUGGCACUGAGGACCAUCUGUAACACUCUCUCACUCUCACAGGCAGGCCUCACACUCCAGCCACAAGACAAACAAGCAGAAAAGCUGGGUUCAGCAACAAUGACACCAAAAAAGAUUUUCAGGGGUCACAGGGCAGUUCAAGCUAUCAUCCUCAUGUUAAAAAUGUUAACAGCAGUCAUUAAAAGAUGUUUUGCUCUCUUCUGUAGCAUUUUUUAGGUAUGAGAUCUUCUUUCAGUCUCCUUUUAAAUGUCAUUGGCACCCUUCUUCCUGCCUUAGUCAUCAACAACCAAGUUAUUACCGUGCCAAGGUCCUGCAUAAAUUUUUGUGGACUUCUGAUGUAGUUGGGAUGAGGGCAUCAUUCCACACUUACAGGUUCUGCUAUGCUGCAGCCCUUCAAGUGAAGUGAAGGACUGGGUACAUACUCUGCUCUGAAAGCUGACAGUUCACCCCAGAACAGCAGUUUGGGAGCCCUCUGAACACCUCCUUAGAGAGAGGGGUCAGCACAGCAGGGUUCUCCCCAUGUGUCUGACUUGCACAUGGAAAGUCAUGGCAGAAACCUCCUGGAGAUGAUACUCCACCUAAAGACUGAAAAAACAUGCACACAAUUCCAACUGGUCUUUUCCAGGGAACCACUCAAGGCAGAAAGGCAGAGUAAUGUGUGCUCACAUAGGCCAGCAAGGUGAGAUGUGGCACUGAGCUCCUCACAGCACUUUAUUCCCUUUACAAACAUACCUAUCCUGGCAACCAUGCUCCUCUCUGGCUGCAUUUGUAACUGCUCAGAAGUACUUUCAUUUCAAACAGAAAAAGAUGAUAUAGAGUCAAGCAUUUGUAAUGGUAUCAACCACACAAGAAGAACGUGCCAUGCAGGGAAGAUCUAAAACAUCCCCACAGUAAGAACUGAUCCAAAGCCUCCCCUGAGCUCCUCAGCCACCACAUCACUGUACUUUGGGUGGGCUCUGCAGACACGGGGAAAACUCCAAAGAAAGAAGAAACUAGAACUUAUUUUGGUUAAGGUCCUGAUGAACUAACUCCACAAGCAUUUCAGCCAGCACAAACCCCCAGUCACUGAACAGAGGUGGCCUCCCCUCCUCCCCCAGUGCCUGCACAGCUCUCACUGCAAGGGCCCAAUGAGGAGUAACUCGGGUUGAAACUGUUCUUUGGGGGAUUAACUUUAACCUGAAUUGGUUUCCUGACUUAACUCCCCACGUGACUGCGGAGAUGCUGCUGGUGCUCACACAAGGGAGGGGUGCAUUUGUUUGGCAAUGCCAGCUUAGGGGAGACUAAAAUACACAGAGCUCAACUCUCAGGCUGCUGGAUUGGUAUGAGGAGAUCUGGGGUAGCAGGCAGAAGGACAAGGAACACAGGGUUAGUUUUCCAAGAAACAGAAUAGUCUGUGAAUAAGUCAUUGGUUUCUACAGCCAGUAUUGCUGUGAAACUUGAAGCAAGUCACUUAUUUGAUGUGUCAAUUCCUCAGCUGUGAAAUGAGGACAACGCUUCCUUACAUCACCAAAGUGUCGUAAGUUGAAAAUUAAUGACUGAGGCACUUGGACACUGGUGCUGAGGGCCAAGUCAGUGUGCAGCUACCAGAGCUGAGUGAUUAGUGACAGGGAGGGACUAAAGAAUCAACAUAUUAUUUUUGGUGGACUAUUUCCUUAGAGGAUAAAGCAGAGUAACUGCUACUUACUUGAUUGCAAGGAAUUGAAAGAGCUCUCUGUAGCUCCCUCGUGGGUGGACACCUAAACAAUUAAAUAGCCAUGACCUAAUUUUAGCCAGAAACCUUAUGUCACAAGGAAUUUACAGGGAGGCGUCUUCUGUAUGUGCAAAAGUAAUUGCACUGUGGAAGGAUAGUUGACCAAUGUGUUAAUGUAGUUGUACAACAUUUAGGGACAGACUGUAUCCCACUCUCCUUCCGUACCCCACUCUCCUUCCUCAUAUUCCCAAUUCCAAAAUUUCUGACCAUAAGACUGCAUGAUAAAAAUAUCAUAGGACCAGGACUGAAAGAAAUUCUGUGAACAUGCUGCUCCCAGCAUCGGCAUGAUGGAAUCAGUUCAAGGAAAAUUUACAUAAAAAGAAGUGUAAGGCUGGUAGGAGAGGUUAUAAUCCAAUCUCACCUUGUGUGUGACAGAGACGAUGGGAUAUCACCAGUGGGUUUUGCAUGAUGCCUAUACACACCAGUGACACAGAAGGCACUUCUUUUGAAGUGCCAUUAUUAUGCACAUACAGCCAUCAAGUGAUAGAAAACACAUCCCAGUUCUAAAAGAAGUUGUUCCAACAGCUUGUUUUCCUCACAGUUACAACCUGUCCUUUCCUUCUAGCCUGAACUUUCCUGCCUUCCUUCAGAAGCAUAUGGGAAACAUUUCUUCCUCUCAGGCUAACUCAGGAUUGGUACCACGGGAUUGGAAAGCUGGGACUGGAAGUCCCCGUGCUGUGACAAGCACGGCGUGUGAGCCAGGGCAAGUCACAGAACCAGCACAGUACAGCAUGGCCAGCCUCUGUGAGAUGUGUCGGGCUCACUGCAAACACCGGGAGCCAAAGGAUUAAAUAACUUCAUGGAGCUGGGCACAUGCCUUUCUGUAAUUCAGUUCUUACCUGCAGAACACCAGGAUUAGAGGCUUCCUAUCUGUGAGGAUCUAUUAAACACCAUAUUGUGCUUGGAUACAUGAAUAGGAACAGAAGCCACGUAAAUACUUCAAGCGGUAAAUAGUGUUUCAAGUCUUACUGAGCUUAUUAUGUCUCAAGAGCUCAUUAUGUCCUCACUAGAUUAGAGAGCACAUAUUCAAAAAACAAACACAAACCUAAGGAAAGCAAGAAUACCCAAAGAAAGCUUUCAAGUUGAAAUACCAACCUCAGGAUUUUUGCUCCUGCCUUAUGAUUUUGAGACAUUGGGCUGACAAUCUAAAAAUCCCCAGAAAGAGUUAACACUGACAUUCUGUUUCCUCGGUCCUCUUGGCCAGGGCAUCAGCCCUAAAUAAUAAUUAUUAUGAAGAUGUAUCAGUGGGUUAAAAAAAAAAGUGUCAACAUAAAGUGAAAAUCCUGAACUAUCUGGCUCAGCACUGAAGAGCACUGACAUGUCUGCAGCCAGCCUGGCAGUUUGCACUCAAACCACUGGGAAUUUUUGUUGGCUCAGUACAGAGUGGGACUGAGUGCACCCUCAGCAAGUUUGCCAACAACACCAAGCUGAGCUGUGCAGCCCAGCUCUGGGGCCUCCUGUAUAAGAAGGACGUGGAGCUGCUGGAGCGAGUCCAGAGGAGGCCCCGGAGAUGCUCCAAGGGCUGGAGCCCCUCUGCUCUGGAGCCAGGCUGGGACAGCUGGAGGGGUUCCCCUGGAGAAGAGAAGGCUCCAAGGAGACCUGAGAGCCCCUUCCAGGGCUUAAAGGGGCUCCAAGGGAGCUGGAGAGGGACCUGGGACAAGGAUAAGGGGGAAUGCCUUCAAACUGAAAGAGGGCAGGUUUAGACUAUACAGCAGGAAGAAAUCCUUCCCUGUGAGGGUGACAAGGCCCUGGCACAGGUUGCCCAGAGAAGCUGUGGCUGCCCCAUCCCUGGAAGUGUCCAAGGCCAAGUUGGAUGGGGCUUGGAGCAACCUGGGCUAGUGGAAAGUGUCCCUGCCCAUGGCAGGGGGGUCAGGAAAACAUGAUUUUAACAUCCCUUCCAACCCAAACUGUUCUGUGGUUCUACGAAUGCACAAGAAUUAUGGACCUUCCAAAGCACAUCCUUCUAACUUCAUGGGCAGACAGUUCAGCACCCUGCAAAUCGUACCCAAGACUCAAAUCUUCAGUGUUGCAUCUGCUUUUGUUCAACUCCUUAUUUUCUGAGUUUGUGUGGUUAGGCACUGAAACGUGAAUCUGUUGAUUCCUGGCUACAACACAGGCUUCUUGUGUGGCCCAAGCCACGUCCCUCAAGCUAUACUUCAGUCCCCUCCUUGGCAAACAGGUAAAACAUCCCUCAGUGAUGUUUUAUGCAUAAAUUAACUCAUGGAAGCCGGUUUUUCAAAGAGUUCACUAAUUAACAUUAUAGACAACCCUGCAGAUAAAGAGAUUGUCAGAGCUCUGUCUGGCAACUCUGGCCCAGGGAAAGAGUGCAUUCCAGAAGCGAUGAUAGAAUCUCCAUACAAUUCCAGAAAGCCAAGUUUACUGAAUUCCACAAGGUUAUUUUUUAGGAAUGUGUACUUCUUAGCAACAUAGCAUAAGGAUUUCAUACAAUGUAGGGCAUCUCCUACAUUUUUUUUACUUGGAAUGAAAUGGCACCAUCAGUUUUCAGCACAAUUUAUAUGUGCUAUCUUGACAAGAUUUCUCUGGAGAAAUCCUGAAACACUUAGUAGAUCUAGAACAAAGACUUUAAUGGUGGAGACCCUGUUUUUCACAAAUAUACAUUUACAAGUUGCUGGAGAAUGCAAAGAGAGUUCUACAAAAGGCAUGUUGAUUAUCCUACAUUUUCAGAUGCAAGCUCAACAGGGUAGAUAAUGUAUUUUUCCUGUGUUUAUACAGUGCCUGCCUGGUAUCUUACUUGUGCUUAGAAUAAAGUCCACAGAUAACUUCAUUUUCUAGGAUUCAUAAACCAGUAUGAUAUCUAAGUACAAAACUCGGGUAUAAAACAAAUUAAAUAAAACACAAAUUUUAUCCGAGGAUGACCAGAAAUAGAAUAGCAAGAGGACCAAACAUUACUUGUUCUGCCUACACUGACUAAAGAGGGUAAACUGGGAAGAGACUAAACCACAAAUUUUAGCUGUUUCUUUGCUUUCCUUCAAGUAGUACAGGAUAUAACCUGACAGUUCUACAGUCUUCACCAUCACAUGAUUUACUUAACCUAAAAGCUGAAAACCUUUUAAGCUCAUCUCAUUUUAAAAUACACAUAAAUUGAAAUAGUCAAUAUUGAAAGACAAACAAGAGGAAGUUUUUACUAAGUCUGCAAUUACAUAUUUCAAGAGCCACUGAAAAAUGGCUCCUGAAAAUAGGAGCUGAAAUGUGCUUUCAAACAACAGCUGAACUUCUGUCACAAGUUAUUGCCGAGCCUACAUACCAAAUACUUCGAGUUUUCUUUGAAACUUAAGAGCUUACUGAUUACAGGAACUAAAUAAUAAUUACUGCCUUUGAUUUUAAGACCAUAAUCCAGGACUGGAAAAUGGAUUUGUCACUGUUGCUGCGCACCAGUGAAUUCACUUGCUUCGUUUCCAAUGUAACAACACGACCAUCUCACUGUGGUGUAAUUAAUCCAUGAAAAGCUGUUGCAACAUGAAUGACACUCAAAAUCAGCACGCACAAAUAUUGUCAUUAAGUUUAUUUGGAAAAAUAAAUGGCCUGUGAUUUCAUGACCA